GUACUCGCUUUGGCACUACAUAUACUAAAGCGGGAAGAAUAUAGAGAUUAGCAUGGCCCCUACGCAAGGAUGACAAGUAAAAUGAUGGUUUUUACCAAAGAUGU
ensembl:snRNA U6 U6 spliceosomal RNA